UCGCCUGCAUGAAGUCGGAAUUGCUAGUAAUCGCGGAUCAGCAUGCCGCGGUGAAUACGUUCCCGGGCCUUGUACACACCGCCCGUCACACCAUGGGAGUCGGUAACACCCGAAGCCGAUAGUCUAAACGAAAGAGGACGUCGUCGAAGGUGGGAUUGAUGACUGGGGUGAAGUCGUAACAAGGUAGC
rnacentral:rRNA from 1 species